UACAGUUUGGCAUUAGUCCUGCACUUGACC
rnacentral:piRNA from 1 species